AAAAAAAACAUAAAAAAA
rnacentral:sRNA from 1 species